AAAUCUGCAGCCUGCCCUCCACCUUGUGUACAUGUUGGUUUCAUUAUAUAAAUCUAAUAAGAUAGUCUGCCACGUUUCUUUCUGAUAAAUAGCUUACCUCUGUAAUUGUAGCGGCACACGUAUGGUAAAGACUUUUAGAGAAUCGUAUGAAGUGGACAUAAGCCCAACGGAUUCUUUGACUCUGUAUAGAGCAGGGGUAGGCAACUCCAGCACACCAGAUGUUGUAGACUAGAUCUCCCAUGUUGCUUUGCCAGCAUUAUGGCUGUGAGAGCAUUCUGGGGGAUGCAGUCCACAUCUGGAGUGCAAAAGUUGCCUACCUGUGGUUUAGGAGUGCGUCUGAUUCCUUUCUUCAGGUAUGGCAUCGUCUAGGGGAGUUGAACCACUGAAUGGAAAAAGACACCUCUUCCAGAGUGAAAGAAAAUCCGUCCACAUCAAGAUCCCUACUUCCGAGACCAAACACAAUAACGUGGUACAUUUAAGCAAUGGACCUCUAGACCUCACGAUCACCUGGAAA